rnacentral:sRNA from 18 species
UGCUUUCUGAGUGCAGUCUGUUUUAACUAACAGACUGAUGGCUGGUGACUUUUUGGUCACCAGCCU